AGAGUUUGAUCCUGGCUCAGGAUGAACGCUGGCGGCGUGCCUAAUACAUGCAAGUCGAACGAGCUCUUCGGAGCUAGUGGCGGACGGGUGAGUAACACGUUGGUACCUGCCCCGAAGUGGGGAAUAACUGCCCGAAAGGGUGGCUAAUACCGCAUAAUACCGCAAGGUUAAAGCAGUAAUGCGCUUCGGGAGGGGCCUGCGUCCCAUUAGCUAGUUGGCGGGGUAAAUGCCCACCAAGGCGACGAUGGGUAGCUGGAUCGAGAGGUUGACCAGCCACACUGGGACUGAGAUACGGCCCAGACUCCUACGGGAGGCAGCAGUAAGGAAUCUUCCACAAUGGACGAAAGUCUGAUGGAGCAACGCCGCGUGCAGGAUGACGGCCUUCGGGUUGUAAACUGCUUUUAUAUAGGAAGAUUAUGACGGUACUAUA
rnacentral:rRNA from 1 species